UACGAAGGGGCUAGCGUUGUUCGGAUUUACUGGGCGUAAAGCGCACGUAGGCGGAUCGAUCAGUCAGGGUGAAAUCCCAGAGCUCAACUCUGGAACUGCCUUUGAUACUGUCGAUCUGGAGUAUGGAAGAGGUGAGUGGAAUUCCGAGUGUAGAGGUGAAAUUCGUAGAUAUUCGGAGGAACACCAGUGGCGAAGGCGGCUCACUGGUCCAUUACUGACGCUGAGGUGACGAAAGCGUGGGGAGCAAACAGG
rnacentral:rRNA from 1 species